ensembl:lncRNA
GCAGAGGUAAAAAUCCGUUCUGUCUGGGGUUUGGUUACCACUGCCCUUCAGGUCUAUAUCUUCGCAAUAAUGGAUCCGCUAAAACCCACCUAGGAGGGCAUCUCUCCCCCUGCACACAGGAGAGGGACCACAUCACACACAAGUGCUCCGCGCCCACCAUUCAUCACGAGACCUCGCAAGGGCUUCAAGGCUGCGGCUAAGCUGGGGAGCUCCGGACCUAACCAAGCCCCCACCCCCGCCACCGAAACUGACUGCGCGCGGCAGAGGAAUUAUUCGCCGGAGAAGGGCAGCCCCCAGCACCACGGCGGCUCCGCGUCUGCGUCCAGGGCGGCCGGGUGCGGGGUGCACGCGCACGCACACUCAUUAGGGACGAUGUAUUUAUUGAAUGUCCGAGUCGGGUUAGUUCACUGGAAAUCCCCGAGGAGGGUUCAAUUUGCCCUUGUUUUCGUUGCCACUUUCUCUUUUUUCUUGGUUCGCUGAGGCUCCUCUGUGCAGCGUUUCCGCUCGGCCGCACUGCGAUCGCGCUCCCCGCCGCCAGCCCCAGCCGCGCCGCAGACCAUCCGAGGCCGGAGAGACAGAGAAAGCCCCCACCGUGCCUAAGAAUAGUGAGCCCAGGCCAAAUACCACUAACAGCCACCGCACCGAAAUAAAGAAACGCACACCCGCACCCACACCCGAUGUGAGCGGUGGAGGGCGCGGCUGGCGGCCCGCUCCCCUAGGCCGCUCCCGCUGCGGCAGGCUUCCCGACGCCUCGGGGCGGGGGUGGGGGGGGGACACACUUACGGUGUGUCUAGGGGGGAAGGUCGGCCGAUCUCUCCGCCGCCCGUGGGCACCCCCGACUCGCAAGGGCACGCGCGCUCCUCGCAGGAAUCCCGGCGGAGGGGCGGGGGAGGAGAGGCGGGGUGGGGAGCGCGCGGCGGGCUGCGGUCCGUCUCGCACGCGCGGGCCCCGCGCCGGUCCCGGGCUGCCGGUCUCCCAGGCGAUGGCAUCCGAGACCUUAAACAAAGGGGGCCGCCGCCGCCGGCGCGAAGCGGCUGCGGAAAGUCGCGGUGGCUGAUUUCCAAGGAGCGUGGCUGCUACCCGGUCUUUCGGCGCCGCGAGCUCCCUCUUUCCACCCCCGCCUCGGUAGGGACGGGGGAUGGCCAGUGAAGGGAGAAGGAAACUUUGAAACCGCUGGGGACACGGCUGCCUAUAGACCUCUGCUGGGAAAAAAAUAAAACACCAACCCCAACCGUCAGCAGCAAGGUAACAGAGAAACGGGACCUCGUGUUUUCGCCUCUGCAGCUUUUUCCUUGUUAUACUUGUCUCCUACUCUCUGCCCAAAAGGAAAGAUGUCCCAUCAGACUGUGACUGUCGUGAGGAGAAUGAAAGAGGACUCUUGUUUCAGAGGCAACCGAGAGCUCCGGCAAUAGCAACUUCAGAGCAAUGCACCAGCGCGAGAAGUUUUCCUAGGACAGAGCAAAGUCGAGCCGAGAGGACCGGAGGGGGAGAGCGGGAGCCCGCGUCUCUGCUCGGCACGCGAGCGGCCAGCACCACCACGCCUUCAAGGACAAAAAAAGUUUUCCUUCUCCGAGGGGAGACGAGCGAAGGGCGUUCCCGAGGAGCUGGCGAGGAGCGGCCGGUCGUCCGCGCUGUGGUCCAGCAGAAAGGAGCGGCUUCUUUUCUUUGUUGCCUCCCGUGAAGUCGCCACUUAGCAGGUGGACCGGGCCCUGCGCCCCGGGCAGAGUCCGCGCUCGCCCGAGGACCGGAGGAGGAGGAGCACCGGUCGGUGCGCCCGGCCCGAAGAGCCCCGGCGCAGGCCCGCGCCCCUCCCGGAGAGCCUCGCUGGAGCGAGCCGCUCGCGCCGGGGCUGGGGGGCGGCCACGAC